GGAAUUGGGGGAAUUGGGGGUGAGGUUGGGGGAAAUGGGGCUGGAAUUGGGGGAAAUGGGGCUAAAGUGGGGAGAAGUGGGGCUGGAUUUAGGGGAAUUGGGGUUAAAAGCAGAGAAAAUGGGGCUGAGAUGGGGGGUGGGGAAGUGGGAGGAAAUGGGGCUGAGAUUGGGGUGCGUGGGGCGGAAGUUGGCUUCAAAACUGGGGAGAGGAGAGGGGGAAAUUGGGGGCACGGGGCUGAAAAUUGGGGGCACGGGGCUGAAAAUUGGAGAUGUGGCCCCAGAAGUGGAGAGAACGGAGCCGAAUAUGAGGGAAGUGGCCCCAAAAAUGGGAAGAACGGAGCUGAAAAUGGAGGAAACUGCCCCAAAAAUGGAGAGAAGAGCUUUGAAAAUAGAGGGAAUGAGUCUGAAAAUGGAGAGGAUGGCCCCAAAAAUGGAGGAAACGGCCCCAAAAGUGGGGGGAGCUGCUGCAGAAACGGCGGGAGUUGUUCUGAAAACGGAGGAAAGAGACCCAAAAAUGCGAGGAAUGACCCCAAAAGUUGCCUUGGAAAGGAUGGAAGCAGCGCUGAAAAUGGGGAGGACGGCUUUGAAAAUUGGGGGAACGGACCCAGAAAUGAAGAGGGCAGCCCCAAAAAUGGGGGAAACGGACCCAAAAAUGGGGGAAACGGACCCAAAAAUGGGGGAAGUUGCCUGGAAAACGGUGCAGACGUCGCUGGAAAUGCUGAGAACGGUUUUGGAAACGUCCAAAAUUGUGGUGAAAACGCUGGAAACGGUACAGAAAACGCUGAUUUUGGGAGUGAAAAUACCGCAGGUGGGACUGAAAAUAGCAGAAACGGUACAAAAAAUGCUGAUUUUGGAGCCGAAAUGGGCAGGAAUGGUACAGAAUACGCUAAAAUUGGGGCUGAAAAUGGCGGAUUUGGGUCUGAAAAUGGCGGAUUUGGGACCGGAAGUGGAAUUGGGUCUGAAAAUGGCGGAUUUGGGAGUGAAAAUGGCGGAUUUGGGUCUGAAAACAGCGGAAUUGAGACGGAAUGUAGUAGAUUUGUGUCUGAAAAUUGCAGAGCUGGGACUGAAAAUGGCAGAAUUGGGACUGAAAAUGGCAGAAUUGGGAGUGAAAAUGUCAGAACCGGAGCAGAAAAUUCCAGAAUCAGGACUGAAAGUUGCAGGUUGGACAGCGAAGGCCUCAGAAUUGGGGCAGAAAACGUCAGAUUUGGCACCGAGUUCAAAGGUGGAACUGAAAAUCUGCUGCUCGGCGCUGAAAAUACCAGAAUUUGGGCUGAAAAUACCAGAAUUGGGACUGAAAAUACGAAACACAGUACUGAGGAUCUCCGGUUUGGUGCUGAAAAUGCCAAAUUCAGCACGGAAAAUAGCAAAAUCGCUGCUGAAAAUCUCCGUUUCGGCGCUGAAAAUACGAAGUUUGGUACUGAAAAUGGCCGAUUUGGUGCCGAAAAUACCAAAUUCGGCGCUGAAAAUGCGAAGCUUGGUACUGAAAAUACCAAAGUGGGUACGGAAAGCAUCCGGUUUGGCGCUGAACUCGUCGGAUUUGGGGCUGAAAACACCAAAUUCACUCCCGAAACGCUUCGCUUCGGUGCUGAGAACGUCCGCUUUGGGGCUGAAAAUGCCAAAUUUGGGGCUGAAAAUGUGGAAUUUGGGUCAGAGAACGCCCGACUCAGGGCUGAAAACGCCCGAUCUGGAUCCGAAAACGUCCAGUUUGGGUCCAAAAAUGCCCAGUUUGGGUCUGAAAAUGCCCGAUUUGGGGUUGAAAACGCCCAAUUUGGGUCUGAAAACGGCCAAUUCGGGUCCAGAAAUCCCCAAUUUGGGUCCAAAAAUGCCCAAUUUGGGUCCGAAAACACCCGAUUUGGGGCUGAAAAUGUCCAAUUAGGGGCCGAAAACCUCCAGUUUGGGGCCGAAAACACCCGAUUUGGGGCGGAAAACACCCGGUUUGGUUCCGAGCCCCCCAAACUCCCCCCCGACCCCCACGUUUGCACCGAAACGCCCCAAAUUUGCCCCGAAACGCCUCACAGCCCCGAAUGCUUCGACACCAACGACGGCUUCUCCUCCUUCUGCUCCGUGGCUCCCUUCACCGGCGCCCACCGCCCGCGGGGGGGGUCCGAACCCAUCCCCACCCCCUCCCCUCCUUACGCCGACCCCAAAGCUGAGGCCGUCAGCCCCAAACGCAGCCGCGACGACCCCAAAUCCGCCGGCCCCAAACCCAAAGGUCGCAAACGUUUCUCCCUACGCAGCGUGGGGCGAAGCGUCCGAGGGAUUUUGCAAUGGAGGGCGACCCCGGAAACCCCACCGGACCCACAGAAUCCAUCGACCCACAGAUCUGGAAGCACCGAAGGGACCCCUGGGACCAGAUGGGAUCGGUUGCGCAUUGGCAGAGCUCGGACCCCGCGUCGGGGGCUGCCCGGUUUGGUGCUGCCCGAAGCCGGGGGUCCCGGGGGGGGCAGGGGGAGGAGGUGCCGGGUGAUGCUGCGGCGGGAGCCCCAUGGAGACGUCCUGGAGCUCUACGUGCCCCCCAAGGUGGGAAACGGAGGACGGGAGCGCGGCUGCCCCACUGAGAGACCCUUUUCUGUCCCAUUUUCAGCCCUAUUUUCAGUCUGAUUUUCAGUUCCAUUUUCAGUCUCUUUUUCAGCUGCAUUUCCAUCCCAUUUCAGACCCAUUUCAGCCCCAUUUCCAUCCCAUUUCAGUUCCAUUUCAGCCCCAUUUCCAUCCCAUUUCAGUCCCAUUUCAGCCCCAUUUCCAUCCCAUUUCAGCUCCA
rnacentral:lncRNA from 1 species